AGGACGAACGACGAAGAACGAAGAGGAGAAGAAGAACGAAGAAGAUCGGCUGGAGAACGAGUUACACAUUCUUAAAGUGGAAAAGAGUUCGAACUAUACCAAAGAAGGAACGAAGAAGAAGAAAUGGAACAAGAAGAUAUUUCCAGCGUCAAUCCAUUUGGAUAUGUCAAAUAGAACUGUUUUACUGCUGCUCUCCUGCAGCAGUUUUGCUACUGUCUUCAUGCAAGUGUCUGACUAAUCUUGUUGUUGCUGCUGUUUUUUUGUGUCGGUUAUGGCCGCUGCUGUAAUGUUGUUGUCUGCGUGGUGUAACCUAAGGCUACAAGCUGUUCUGCUGCUGUAUUAUAUGUUCUGUUGUUGUUCUCCUGUUGUCCGUGAGGUUCAUUUCUAGCUAUGGGGCUAUAUUCUCUUGAUAAGUGGAAUGGGCUGACUAAUCUCAAUGUGGAAUUGCCGUUCUUCUAUUUUUUGGAUGAUUGGGCUGACAACUCUCAUGUGGAAUGGUCUGUAUUCUCGGUUUGUUGGGUUGGUUUCAUGACUGACUAAUGGUACUUGUGUUGGAUUAUAAUUUGUAUUCUGAAGAUGGUUGACGGUGACGUACUUGAAGAUGGUAAAGUUUGAUUGUAUCAUUUUGAUUGGAUCAUAGUCCAAGUUCGUUUUUUGUUGAAUUUUCCUCUGUUUGUAUGAUCUCAAUUUGUGAGCCAAUAUCCUCAAACCAAUUAUGUGUAGUUCAUACUUUCCAUCUGUGGGGUAAAAGUUCUACGAUUGUUGCUUAA